rnacentral:rRNA from 1 species
CGAAGGACCCGAGUGUUAUCCGGAUUUAUUGGGUUUAAAGGGUGCGUAGGCGUCCUGGAAAGUUACGGUUGAAAUCUCCUUGCUUAACAAGGAAACUGGCCGUAAAACUAUCAGGAUUGAGUACAUUUGAAGCGGGCGGAAUGUGUCAUGUAGCGGUGAAAUGCAUAGAUAUGACACAGAACACCAAUUGCGAAGGCAGCUCGCUAAACUGUAACUGACGCUGAGGCACGAAAGCGUGGGGAUCAAACAGGAUUAGAUACCCUGGUAGUCCACGCCCUAAACGAUGAUUACUCGAUGUGUGCGAUACACUGUACGCGUCUGAGCGAAAGCAUUAAGUAAUCCACCUGGGGAGUACGAUCGCAAGAUUG